rnacentral:SRP_RNA from 1 species
CCAUACCGGUCGGGGAGAUAGCGGUGCCCUGUACCUGCAAUCCGCUACAGCAGGGAUGAUUUCCGUUUACGAGGGGUGGUCGUGUGCGGUCUGCGCCGUAUAAACCGCGUGAUGACGAGCGGGUCUUGUGCAAUCGACUGCCGUGAACCAUGUCAGGUGGGGGACCAAGCAGCAUUAAGCGGAUGUUGUCGAUGUGCCACGAGGGUGCCUUCUCCGAGCGAGGAGUACGGUGGCGCGUGUACGUUCAUUUCGAAUUUACGGUGUAUGG